UGCAAGUCGAGGGGUAACAGGAGAGCUUGCUCUUGCUGACGACCGGCGCACGGGUGCGUAACGCGUAUACAAUCUACCUAUUACUAAGAGAUAGCCCAGAGAAAUUUGGAUUAAUAUUUUAUGGUAUUACGAUUUGGCAUCAAGUUGUAAUUAAAGGUUACGGUAAUAGAUGAGUAUGCGUCCUAUUAGCUAGAUGGUAAGGUAACGGCUUACCAUGGCAACGAUAGGUAGGGGUCCUGAGAGGGAGAUCCCCCACACUGGUACUGAGACACGGACCAGACUCCUACGGGAGGCAGCAGUGAGGAAUAUUGGACAAUGGGAGCAAUCCUGAUCCAGCCAUGCCGCGUGCAGGAAGACUGCCCUAUGGGUUGUAAACUGCUUUUAUACAGGAAGAAAAAGGUGUACGUGUACACUGUUGACGGUACUGUAAGAAUAAGGAUCGGCUAACUCCGUGCCAGCAGCCGCGGUAAUACGGAGGAUCCAAGCGUUAUCCGGAAUCAUUGGGUUUAAAGGGUCCGUAGGCGGGAUGAUAAGUCAGUGGUGAAAGUCUGCAGCUCAACUGUAGAAUUGCCAUUGAUACUGUUGUUCUUGAGUUAUUGUGAAGUGGUUAGAAUGAGUAGUGUAGCGGUGAAAUGCAUAGAUAUUACUCAGAAUACCGAUUGCGAAGGCAGAUCACUAACAAUACACUGACGCUGAUGGACGAAAGCGUAGGUAGCGAACAGGAUUAGAUACCCUGGUAGUCUACGCCGUAAACGAUGGUUACUAGCUGUUCGGACUAAUUGCGGUCUGAGUGGCUAAGCGAAAGUGAUAAGUAACCCACCUGGGGAGUACGUUCGCAAGAAUGAAACUCAAAGGAAUUGACGGGGGCCCGCACAAGCGGUGGAGCAUGUGGUUUAAUUCGAUGAUACGCGAGGAACCUUACCAGGGCUUAAAUGCAGUUUGACAGGGGUGGAAACACCUUUUUCUUCGGACAAAUUGCAAGGUGCUGCAUGGUUGUCGUCAGCUCGUGCCGUGAGGUGUCAGGUUAAGUCCUAUAACGAGCGCAACCCCUUUGGUUAGUUACCAGCAUGUAAUGAUGGGGACUCUAGCCAUACUGCCAGUGUAAACUGUGAGGAAGGUGGGGAUGACGUCAAAUCAUCACGGCCCUUACGUCCUGGGCUACACACGUGCUACAAUGGUAGGGACAGAGAGCAGCCACUGGGUGACCAGGAGCGAAUCUACAAACCCUAUACACAGUUCGGAUCGCAGUCUGCAACUCGACUGCGUGAAGCUGGAAUCGCUAGUAAUCGCAUAUCAGCCAUGAUGCGGUGAAUACGUUCCCGGGCCUUGUACACACCGCCCGUCAAGCCAUGGAAGCUGGGGGUACCUGAAGUCGGUCGCCGCAAGGAGC
rnacentral:rRNA from 1 species